UCGCAUCGCGACACGUGGCCCUCUCACUUACCUCGCGGACACGCGAUCAUCUCUUUGGUGGCCGAAACCCUAACGUUCGAACGUUAGAGGGUUGUUGUUUCGGUGGCGGAGGGGAGCUGCGCCUGGACGCGGAUGAUGCCGUGCUGCCCGCCGAUCGCGGCCGUUCCAAUGGGGCCCCGGAGCAACGAAUGCUUUGAGAUGAGGUGGAGCAACUCAUCGCUUUUAAGAUUCUUCUGGGUGCUCUGAGAAUGAGGAUGAGAUUGCAUAGAUCGCCUCUUGUGGACCCUUACUUUCAGGAGCCUCAUGCAGGUCAUGCCGUUUCCUAAUGUUUUAAUAUUUUCAUUGUUAGAAAAUUGAUCUCUAUGUUCUUCAGAUCUUUGAAGCAAAAAUUUUGUGCUUCCAAAGUUUUUAUUGAUCAAAAUCACUACAAUAGAACAGGUUGCUUCACCCCAAAUCAUUAAGCUAUGAUGCAAACACUAAUCAUUUGCUCUUAGACCCUGUUCUAGCAAUUGCUGCAUGAUAUGGCAUUGGUUUAUGAAACUUAAUUGAAACACAUGACAAAGGCCUGAUACUGAUGUUGUUUAUAGUUUAUUUUUUGUAUAAUAAGACAUGCUUGAAACUUUUCAAAGUUCUUUCAAACUUAUAAUCAUGUUAUGAUGUUUUGGUUGGUCUUCUACAGUGACUAAUUCUGUCCAUUAUUAUGUGCAACGAUUUUUUUUUUUGUUUGGAACAAAUGAAAAGUCUUUUUUUCUUAUGAAAGCAUGUGACUAGAAGAAGCCUAAAGGAGCCUUAACUUGUUCACAAUCUUAAAACUUGUAAACUAUCUUGUAAUUUCAGGAAGCAUUUCUUCAGCUUUGGACUUGCCAUGACCACAAUCUCACAAACAACCUGCACUAUUUAGGGCACAUGGUUCGAGAAAUCAUACACAAAUAUUGUCCUCAUUUUCCAAUUAGGCUUCCAAGCAUCAUCAUCUUCUUUGUCCACAUAUUCUUGUAGUGAUAUUAAGGUGCUUGACACCUCUAAGAUGGUGCCAAAUUAAGAAAUCCAAUGCUGAAUCCCAACAUGUCUGAUGACGGUGGUUGGUAGCCACUGCACUGGCUUUUGCUGAAGUAGUUACUUCUCCCACAGCAAGGGACAUUGAUCUUCUGUGUGCGAACAAGCACAUUUGAGUUGUGGAGAACACAAAUGGAUUGAAGAACGCUAUUUGGUUUAUGUAAGUGUCAAAACCUAUUGGCUCUCCUAGAAGGUGGAUGAGUCUAGCCUUAGAAACGCUAGACUCUUUUUCUAAUGUUUAGCACCUGGUGAGAAAAUGGGUUAUCGGGGACAAUAAAUGGGAUGAAUGAGACUUUAUAUUAAUUCACAACUUUAAAUGGGCUAUUUUCGCUUGGGUUUAUGGGUUAAAAGUACGUUGAUUGGGUAUUCUAAUUCUUUGUAACUCAUUUCCACAUAUUAAACCUCCAAAUGCAGUUUAGCUGCCUCAACCAAAUCGUACCUUGGUACAACUGGAUACGGACCUGAAAGAGAUCAACUGAUUUGAACAGCUUCAGCUCAGUUAUGUCUUUCCUAUUAUUUUAAUUUGUAAACUUCUCUAAAAAUGUUGUUUAGUUCAGUUUGUUUUCAUAUUCUGGGAAUAAAAUAAGUUUUCUUUGAUUUGGAAUUUUGCCUUUAAAUCAAACCAAAUCCAGCUGCAUGCACCCAUAGUAAGGUUUCCUCUGUUGGUAUAUUAACUUUUGGGCUUAAAGCCUGUUUGCUCCAUGAUUAAAAGGAUCAGCCCAUAGUACUCAGUUCUCAUCUAAUAGGCAGGAUUGUUUCUUAGGGCAUCGUUGUCAAUGUUUGCUGCAUCAUAAUCAUGCUAUAUUUAUUUGUUUCCUUCAGGGUUGAAGAUGGAUCAGAUAUGGAUUGAUUGGAGAAAACUUAUUCAUAUCCACUUUUUAUUACUGUAUUCAAACUGAGUUAUGGGUCUUUCAUGGGUGCUAACUUAUGCAGCUAUAUGUAAAACGGAAGAUAAAAAGAGAAAAAGUAAAUGUGCCGAGAUAGAACGAUUGAGCAACUAAUUUCAUUUCUAUAUAUUAUUAUAUGUAAACUUGACUUUCAGAUGUAAUGCAUUGGAUAUCCAGAUAAAGAAAGCAAGUGCACCAUAUCUGUAAGAACGUUCCAGAUGGCAAAAUUAUGAUACAAAUAUAGAUAUCUAACCCUAUCUAGAUAUUGAAAUAGACCAAAAGCCUCUGACUUCUUUUGCCCAUAGUAUUGUUUCAUUUAAUUCUUACCAAAUUUGCUGCAAUGUGAGAGCAUGUGGUGGUUAUGUUACAAUCGCUUGCUUAGAUACUUGGGCCUCACCAAACAUUCACUUCGGGGGCUAUCUCUAAUACUAUCGUCAAACUCAACAUGACAUGGUCUGCCUUUCAUACUCAGCUCUAUAUAUUUCUCCAUAAAAGAAGAAAACAAGAAAAAAUUAUCUUACUUUGAAAUUUUAGAAUUAUUUCCUUAUAGCUGAACAAUUAAUUUUGCUUCCUUGAUAGUGGGAGUUGUCUUCAAGUUUGGACUCAAAACUGGUAUAAGAGAAGGAAGGAAUACUUUCUUAGGCAUAAUAUUGUUUUCCUAUUCUCUUCUCAUUGCAAGAAACUAAAAUUCCAAUGUGGUGGAUAAACAGUGUGGUCACAGAUGGAUCAUUAGAAUCAGGAGGCCUUUGAUUUUGGCUCAACAAGAAGCUCUGCAAACUUAAAUGCCAGUUGGAUGAUAUACAUUUAAUUAUAGACCCUCAAGUGGAGGACAAAAAAUUAUGGAGGUGGGAAAGCAUUUACUUUAUGCUUAAAUUUUGUUAUUACAUUCUUAAUUUUGGUGGUUUAAAGUUCUUCUGUUGUGGUCAUGUUUAGAAAUGUUGUGCAGAGGAUUUUUUAUGAUUGGCUAUUAAUGUAUAGAAUGAAUGAAGGAUGGUUUGGUUAAGAGGGGUAAGGCAUGAGAUCUCAUGUGCUGCUUCUAUGGAAUGAAUGCUAUUGUGAAUCAUUUGCUUACAAGAUGCAGCCAAUCAAUUAUACAAGUUUCUUGAAAGAUUUUAUGUUCAGUUGAAUCCUGCAUCAGUCAUCAAAUGGUUCAAAGUUGCAUUAGAAGAGAAUUAAGGAGGUAAUGGAUGCUUGAUAAGGUUACUGCUACUUAAGUUGGAUUACAUAUAUGAAGUUGCAGAAAGUCCACUCAUCAGGUGUCUGUUUCUCAGGUAAAUGAUUAAAUCAUAUUAUUCAUCUUGGAUAGAUGCUGCUGCAGAUAAGAAUGAAAAACUUUUGGCAAAAGAUUAGUUGUUCUGUAGUUGGAUUCUCUUCUGGUGGCUAAUGAAGGCGACUGAUCCUGCUUUGGUUCUUGCUGCUGGUUCUGCCUUUGGAAGCUUGUUUUUUGAUGGGUUUUCUUUUCUGAUACCUGGCUGUAUCUGAAUUGACUUUUAUUUUGUCUUUGUUUUAUUGAUUUUUUUUAAUUAUUUAUUGAUCUUGCUCAUCUAAUGAGAACCUUUUGUAUCCCUUCUACAGUGGGAAAGUGAAGACAAGUGAGUGCUCCACUCUUCACAUCAGAAAAGGAUCAGCAUCUUCAGCUGCAGCUUGCUGAAUCAACCAUAUGUAUUGUCUGGACCAUCAAAUCUUCCGAAGGGCCCAUUGAUUCUGCACCUCCAAACUACUGUGACAGGCUGCACUCUUUGUGGUCACUACCUCAGAAUUCAGAAUUGUGGGAACAACAGGAAGAAGCAUACCAGGUGCAAAUGCAGACAUAUGCUAGUGAAGCAAGACCAGAAGAAAGUGGAAGACAUAGUGCUCAAUUAUUUCACCAUAGAGGAGACAGUGCACAUGUUCUUCCCCUUCUGGUGACUCAAUUCUUUUCUUCACAGAAAGAGAGCCAACAGCUGCUAGAAAGAUCAUGAGCUUUCCGACCGCAUUAGGAGUUUGCAAUGAUGGAUGCAUCUCUGCCUGGUGUUCCAGGAUUUCUACAUGAAUGUCAGGAGUCAUUAGCAGUUAGUUGAAUUAAAAGACCCAUAUAUGUUUGUGCCUCAUAUUCAAGCACAAAGACUUACACAGGUGUAUGUGACUUCAUUUCAUAACAAGAUUCACCUUCUGUGUAUGCUUUUACGACUUGGGCGAUUGAUUUAAUUAAAAGGAAGAGAAUUUAUUGUGAA